rnacentral:lncRNA from 10 species
GGGCGCGUGAGCACGUGACUCUGCUCAGAACUAUGGCUUACCCAUAAAUUGGUUAAAGCAAUAUCUAAGGAUGAGGUCCUAACCCACCUGUUGCAGAUUCCAAGUCACUUGGGAUUACCUCUUCUGAUGAGCCCCCAGACUCAACCCUUUGAAGUACCUCCCAUUAAACAAUUAACAUUCUCAGAUUCAUUUUUGGCCAGUGAGGGGAAAUUUAAGAAUUCAGGUCAUAACAAACUAUAAACAUGUGUUAUCUGCUCAUAACUAAGCCUUUUAAAAAUGAAAUAAUGUUAUUGUUUUCCCCUGAGCUAGGGGUUGGCACUAUGUAGCCUGUAGGUAAGAAGUUGACCUGCCACCUACUUUUAUGAAACAAGUUGUACUGGGGCACAGUCGUGUCCAUUCAUUUAUAUCUUGUCUAUGGCUGCUUUUGUGCUGCAGUGGCAGAGAUGAACCACAGGCUACAUGAAAACACAUGCACGUUCUUCAUGGUGAACUAGAGCUGAUGUAUCUACCUUGAAGAGUGGUUGCAAAAGAUAAACUAAGAAAGUGCCUGGCAUAGCAUCAUCAUGGCAGGGCUUGACUGUUUAUUCCUCCACCCAACAGCAAAUGGAUGGAUAAACAAACUGUGGUACAUCCACGUGAUAGAAUAUUACUUGGUAAUAAAAGGAAUAAGUACUGAUAUAUGGUACAAAGUGGAUGAACCCUGAAAAUAUUACAAUAAGUGAAAGAAGCUAGUCAUAAAGGACCUUGUAUUAUAUGAUUCCAUUUAUACAAAAUGUCCCAAAU